UAAAACCUCUCUCAGUUCGGAUCGAAGUCUGCAACCCGACUUCGUGAAGCUGGACUCGCUAGUAAUCGCGCAUCAGCCAUGGCGCGGUGAAUACGUUCCCGGGCCUUGUACACACCGCCCGUCAAGCCAUGAAAGCCGGGGGUACCUGAAGUACGUAACCGCAAGGAGCGUCCUAGGGUAAAACUGGUAAUUGGGGCUAAGUCGUAACAAGGUAGC
rnacentral:rRNA from 1 species